GUUGACAGUCGCGAGGGGCUGCUGGGAAGACUCGAGCCUGUCCCUCCUCGGCCAAUAGGAGAGCGGCUUGGGAAGCUCGCUCUCCAAUAGCGGCCCGCGUUGUUGGCAUGUCCUGAGGGGCGGGCUAAGCGCCGGGGUGGCCGGUAACGAGCAGGCAGGUUGAUUUUCUGUGAUAUCACUGAGUUGGAUCAACAUUGAAAAUGGAAUAAUAACCAGCCUUUUCACUCUCCAUGACUUAUACCAAAAGUUUGCCUGCGUUCACAUGUCCACUUUCCAAAAGAUGAAUUUCCAGCAAUUGUAAGAGAUCCCAUUAGGGGCUGUCUGACAGAUCAAAAAGCAAGACUGCAGAAAUUAUGAGAUUGAAAAGUAGAGAAACUGAAGAACAUGAAGAUGAUUGCAAGUGAUAAGGAAAUAAUAUUUUAACAAGUUAUUUCUUGUCAGCUGGGCUAUGGUAACUGACACAGCC
rnacentral:lncRNA from 1 species